rnacentral:rRNA from 1 species
UACAGAGGGGGCAAGCGUUGUUCGGAAUUACUGGGCGUAAAGGGCGCGUAGGUGGCCUUCUAAGUCGAACGUGAAAUCCCCCGGGCUCAACCCGGGAACUGCGUCCGAUACUGGAAGGCUUGAAUCCGGGAGAGGGAUGCGGAAUUCCAGGUGUAGGCGGUGAAAUGCGUAGAUAUCUGGAGGAACACCGGUGGCGAAGGCGGCAUCCUGGACCGGUAUUGACGCUGAGGCGCGAAAGCCAGGGGAGCAAACGGG